rnacentral:sRNA from 1 species
AGUGGCUCAUUCACCGACUUAUGUCAGCCCCUUCGGGACGUGCUACAUAAAAUUCGAAUGACGCACAACAAGGUGCCUGCCGUCCAACUUCUGAUAUCAGCUUAGCUAUAUCAACCCUCGGGCGAAACGUCGAGUUAGGCACCGCCU